GAGUUUGAUCAUGGCUCAGGAUGAACGCUAGCGAUAGGCUUAACACAUGCAAGUCGAGGGGCAGCAUGGUCUUAGCUUGCUAAGACUGAUGGCGACCGGCGCACGGGUGCGUAACGCGUAUGUAACUUGCCUGGUAGAAAGGGAUAACCCGGUGAAAGUCGGACUAAUACCUUAUGGUCUUGGGUUAUUGCAUGAUGAUUCAAGUAAAGAUUAAUUGCUAUCAGAUAGGCAUGCGUUCCAUUAGUUAGUUGGUGAGGUAACGGCUCACCAAGGCGACGAUGGAUAGGGGAACUGAGAGGUUUAUCCCCCACACUGGUACUGAGACACGGACCAGACUCCUACGGGAGGCAGCAGUGAGGAAUAUUGGUCAAUGGGCGAGAGCCUGAACCAGCCACGUCGCGUGAAGGAAGACGGUUCUAUGGAUUGUAAACUUCUUUUAUAGG
rnacentral:rRNA from 1 species